AAGCUCAAACGAUUUACAUAAAAC
rnacentral:sRNA from 1 species